rnacentral:sRNA from 1 species
UAACACAUGCAAGUCGAGCGCGAAAGGGGGGGCAACCCCCCGAGUAGAGCGGUUCACGGGUGAGUAACGCGUGGGUGACCUACCUCCGGGCGGGGGAUAACUACUCGAAAGGGUGGCUAAUACCGCAUGAGACCACGGGGUUCACGGACCCUGAGGCCAAAGGCGGCGUCGGCUUGCCGGCGCUGUCACCUGGAAAUGGGCCCGCGUCCGAUUAGCUUGUUGGCGGGGUAACGGCCCACCAAGGCGACGAUCGGUAGCUGGUCUGAAAGGAUGACCAGCCACACUGGAACUGGAACACGGUCCAGACUCCUACCGGAGGCAGCAGUGGG